GUGAGGAAUAUUGCGCAAUGGGGGAAACCCUGACGCAGCGACGCCGCGUGGAGGAUGAAGGCCUUCGGGUCGUAAACUCCUUUCGACGGGGACGAACCGCUCUUCGGAGCCUGACGGUACCCGUAUAAGAAGCCCCGGCUAACUACGUGCCAGCAGCCGCGGUAAUACGUAGGGGGCAAGCGUUGCUCGGAAUCACUGGGCGUAGAGGGUCCGUAGGCGGUUCGGCAAGUUGGCUGUGAAAUCUCCCGGCUCAACUGGGAGGGUGCGGUCAAGACUGCUGAACUUGAGGGUCGGAGAGGCGAGUGGAAUUCCUGGUGUAGCGGUGAAAUGCGUAGAUAUCAGGAGGAACACCGGUGGCGAAAGCGGCUCGCUGGACGGCGCCUGACGCUGAGGGACGAAAGCUAGGGGAGCAAACAGG
rnacentral:rRNA from 1 species